rnacentral:rRNA from 1 species
AUUGAACGCUGGCGGCAUGCCUUACACAUGCAAGUCGAACGGCAGCACGGGUGCUUGCACCUGGUGGCGAGUGGCGAACGGGUGAGUAAUACAUCGGAACAUGUCCUGUAGUGGGGGAUAGCCCGGCGAAAGCCGGAUUAAUACCGCAUACGAUCUACGGAUGAAAGCGGGGGACCUUCGGGCCUCGCGCUAUAGGGUUGGCCGAUGGCUGAUUAGCUAGUUGGUGGGGUAAAGGCCUACCAAGGCGACGAUCAGUAGCUGGUCUGAGAGGACGACCAGCCACACUGGGACUGAGACACGGUCCAGACUCCUACGGGAGGCAGCAGUAGGGAAUCUUCCGCAAUGGGCGAAAGCCUGACGGAGCAACGCCGCGUGAGUGAUGAAGGUCUUCGGAUCGUAAAACUCUGUUAUUAGGGAAGAACAAAUGUGUAAGUAACUAUGCACGUCUUGACGGUACCUAAUCAGAAAGCCACGGCUAACUACGUG